GGGCGCUUAGCUCAGCUGGUAGAGCACCUGCUUUACACGCAGGGGGUCACAGGUUCGAGUCCUGUAGCGCCCAC
rnacentral:tRNA from 1 species